AUUUCUUCAGUAGCUUCUUCUUUUUCUCAUCCCAACUCACGUUUCUUUUAUCCUCCAUGAAAGCUUCUCUCAAAGCUUUCAUCACCCUAUCAAGUUAACCUUAAAUUUCAUGCUUUUACACACCUUGUUUUAGGGUUUUUCAUACUCUUUUACUCUUUCACCUUAAAAAAACCCUCAAAAGUCUUACUCCUAUACUUUCU
rnacentral:lncRNA from 1 species